rnacentral:rRNA from 1 species
GACGAACCGUGCGAACGUUGUUCGGAAUCACUGGGCUUAAAGGGCGCGUAGGCGGGCGCACAAGUCAGGGGUGAAAUCCCACGGCUCAACCGUGGAAGUGCCUUUGAUACUGUGGGCCUUGAGGGGAGGUAGGGGCGUGCGGAACUUCCGGUGGAGCGGUGAAAUGCGUAGAUAUCGGAAGGAACACCGGUGGCAGAAGCGGCGA